AUCCAGCUGACGAGUCCCAAGAACGAAACGUGCAUCCUGGAU
rnacentral:hammerhead_ribozyme from 1 species